rnacentral:tRNA from 1 species
CCGGCCACCGGGUCGGGACCGGCCGCUCGCCCCGGUCCGGCGACGUCCGCCGCCGGGUCGGUCCCCGGCCGGCCGGA